GAUGAACGCUGGCGGCGUGCCUAAUACAUGCAAGUCGAGCGAACAGACGAGGAGCUUGCUCCUCUGACGUUAGCGGCGGACGGGUGAGUAACACGUGGAUAACCUACCUAUAAGACUGGGAUAACUUCGGGAAACCGGAGCUAAUACCGGAUAAUAUAUUGAACCGCAUGGUUCAAUAGUGAAAGGCGGUUUUGCUGUCACUUAUAGAUGGAUCCGCGCCGCAUUAGCUAGUUGGUAAGGUAACGGCUUACCAAGGCAACGAUGCGUAGCCGACCCGAGAGGGUGAGCGGCCACGCUGGAACUGAGACACGGUCCAGACUCCUACGGGAGGCAGCAGUAGGGAAUCUUCCGCAAUGGGCGAAAGCCUGACGGAGCAACGCCGCGUGAGUGAUGAAGGUCUUCGGAUCGUAAAACUCUGUUAUUAGGGAAGAACAAAUGUGUAAGUAACUAUGCACGUCUUGACGGUACCUAAUCAGAAAGCCACGGCUAACUACGUG
rnacentral:rRNA from 1 species